UACGGAGGGGGCGAGCGUUGUCCGAAGUUACUGGGCGUAAAGCGCGCGUAGGCGGGUUGGUAAGUCCGCUGUGAAAGCCCGGAGCUCAACUCCGGAGGGUCGGUGGAUACUGCCAGUCUUGAAGGUGGCUAGGGGGAGAUGGAAUUGACCGGUGUAGCGGAUGAAUGCGUAGAUAUCGGUAGGAACACCAGUGGCGAAGGCGGUCUCCUGGGGCAUUCUUGACGCUGAGGCGCGAAAGCUGGGGGAGCAAACGGG
rnacentral:rRNA from 1 species